rnacentral:misc_RNA from 1 species
CACAAAAGCAGGGACAACCGAAAGGUCGCCACGCUUUACUACAAAGCGUUAGAAGGACCCGGAAGCGAGAGGUCCCCUGUGAAGAUCGACAUCGGUACAGAGGAGAGACUAAAACAAUUGGCUGUGGAAAUCUCGAGAAUCGACGAGAAUACAGACGAGAGCCCGUACGAGAGGAUUGUUAUUCAGUACCCCUUUCCAUUGCUGGAGAAAGGUAUAGUGCUGGUGGAUACCCCGGGUAUUGGAGAGAGUAAAACUCUGGUCAAACACGUCAGUCGAUAUCUGGAAAAGUCCUUUGGCUUCAUUUACGUCGUCAACAGCUCCAACGCAGGAGGGGUACACGAAGGGAGGUUGAAGGACUUUUUGCGGACCGUUAUCAGUAAUGCUGAGGAGGAACUCUACCAUGACAGCACCCUGUUUAUUUGCAAUAAAUGGGAGACCGUGCCCGACAAAUAUAAAGAGGAAGUCCGGAUCGAUACGAUGCGAAAGUUACAGAAGUUUUUCUCUAAUAUCACGGAGGACCAGCUCUUCUUUAUGUCUGUUGGCGAGGCACAAAGACAUUACGAUACUCUCGGCAAAAUGUCACCAGAACAUCACGCUAUGUUGUCUGGGAUACAGCGCCUACUUCCGGCUAGCCUAGAGAACAAAUUAAACAUUCAUUACAGAUUCCUUUCCCAAAUCCUGAAAAGGUCCAUUUACUCAUUGAAAGUUGCGCAGAACAUGGCCAAAUGCAGCAAAGAAGAGAAAGAGAAGUUGAUUAUGGACAUCAAAUCGCGAAUGCAGACAAUUCAGUGUAAAGCUAUGCGUUCAGUGGACGAUCUUCGAAGAGGAAUGGAAUACGAAACCAACAGCCUUUAUGAUACAUUGAGAAAGGUGGUCAACACACCGGAAUUCCGAAGAGCCUGCGGCCACUGGGAACCACGUGAGUGCCCCGGUUCCAAAGAUACAAAGAAACUAAUAGGAGACGCUUCGGAGCUGAUCGAAAACCGCGUGUGUAUGAAUGUGGACAGCUGGGAAAAGAAGUUCCAGGUGAAAAAGACUCUGAAAGAAAAGAUAAUCUCCAAACUUAAAAGAGACUGCGAGUUGAUGGAAGACCAGAUCCGAGAAAUAGAAAGUACUCUUAUUGCCGGUGAAAAUGUAAUUAUAAGAGAUCUUCAUGCAACUAUGAAAGGUGAUCCAAGAGGCAAGAAAAUGAAAAACAAAAAGAAGGGAAAAGACGACAAGUCUUCGGACAUGAACGUCCGGUCGUUAGGGGGUGCUGUAAGCAUAACAGGAAGAUUCGAUAGUAACAAAGCAACAAAGAAAUUUUUCAAAGAUUUCAAGAAGAAAGCGCCAGAAAUAAGUAUGGCAGAAGCAACGGAUCUCUAUAUCCAAAACAUUGUCAACUCAAAAGAUCUUCUGAAAAAUAUAGGAAACUUUCUGAAUCGUUAUAUAAAAGGAAUUGACUUGGUGGCACGCAAAAUUCCGGAUUUCAUUUCUUCAGAUGAAAACAUGCUUAUAGAAAUGCAAAAACAACUGCAGGAAUCUGCCGAGAACAUGUUGGAAGUGCCCAAAAUGAUUCGAGAAUGUACCAUGAUCCAGGGAGAUUUAGACAUGAUAUAUGUUAACGAUAUCAUGCGGAAAGACUAUCGUCUGCGAGAUUUGGAAUGGAGCGAUAGAACAAAACUUGGCAGUGGGGCGUUUGCCGAGGUGUAUGCCGCCAAGUUGCGCCAGGGUGACAGGUCUGUGGAUGUGGCUCUGAAGUGGUUCAAAGACCGGAUAAAACCCAGUACCGUCACCGACAUUUUACUGGAGGAUCGCACGAUGAGAGAGAUGAAGCACCGCAAUCUAAUUCGCUACUACGGUUGUACCUUACAAGUCAAGUCAUCAAAUCUGCACUGGAUUAUGAUUUUGGAAUACUGCAAGUGCACACUAAGAGAUAAAGUUAUACACGAAGACUAUCAAAAUCCCGGAAAAGUCGACCAUUCACUGCAGCAAACACCAAAGUUAGAAAUGGCGCGGUAUGCGUCACAGAUUUGCCAAGGUUUAGAAUUUCUCCAUGGAAAAGACUUGGUGCACCGAGAUUUAAAACUGGAGAAUAUUCUGCUUACAAGUGAGGACUUGAUAAAGCUAACCGAUGUUGGACUGUCUAAACCACAAACCGAUAUCUCGGGGACGCUGGCCGGAUCCCCGGUAUACAUGGCACCGGAAGUCCACCUCCAGAGAGGAAUAUACAACAGAAAGGCAGACAUAUUUAGCCUUGGUAUUAUGUUGUGGGAAAUGUGGUAUGGCGAGGACGCCGCAGACCACAUUUCCUCUGUUCUGUCAGCUAAAGGUAUCAGUGCAAGGAAUCUAGGCAUAGAGUACGAGGACGGUUUAAGACCAAAAAUGUACGACCGGUAUAGACCGGAUCUGGAAUGGAGCAAUUUAAUCGUCCAAUGCUGGGCCCUAGAGGCUAAGCAAAGGCCGGAAGCUAGACACGUGCGCAGGUUUUUUGACGAUUUCCUGCGUGUGAAUCGUCCAAUGAAAUAAGUGUCACGGUAGUUUGACAAUUUUAAUGACUGGUGUACGCAAUACAGUGCAUCCCACGAAUGAACAAUAAUUGCCUAACUAAUUAGAAUAUAGAUAUUUCAAUGCAAAUUAUCAAAAUUUAGAUGUAAUAAAAUGAUUAUUAUACUGCAUCAUAUAUUUAAUAAUUUGAUAUUUCCCCAUUUAUUACUCAAACAGUUGCUCUUUUAACGCAAGCUACAUGUAUUUUCUAUGCAUAUCGAUACAAUGAAUGUGUCAUUAACCCGUUUUUAAAACUGUUAAAUCAUUAAUAGCGUAGCAUAACACAUUGACAUACUUAAGCAGAAUUUAAGUCCAGUAUUCAAAUAUCAAUUGGCCGUGUUGCAACUCAAAUAAAUUAUCAUACAAUGUGGUGCACAGAACUGCAAGUUGCUCAGUGUUUAAUGACUUUUAACGGACUUUUCAAAAUACAUGCAUGAUGAAUUUGAAUAAUUACGUAGUAUAUGUUAUAUGCCAUCAUUGACAAUAAAGAAAAAUAUGACAAUGGUU